rnacentral:rRNA from 1 species
GACGAACGCUGGCGGCGUGCUUAACACAUGCAAGUCGAACGCUGAAGCCCUUUCGGGGGUGGAUGAGUGGCGAACGGGUGAGUAACACGUGGGUAAUCUGCCCUGUACUUCGGGAUAAGCCUUGGAAACGGGGUCUAAUACCGGAUAGGACCUGUCCUCGCAUGGGGGUGGGUGGAAAGUUCCGGCGGUAUGGGAUGAGCCCGCGGCCUAUCAGCUCGUUGGUGGGGUAGUGGCCUACCAAGGCGACGACGGGUAGCCGGCCUGAGAGGGUGGCCGGUCACACUGGGACUGAGACACGGCCCAGACUCCUACGGGAGGCAGCAGUGGGGAAUCUUGCGCAAUGGGCGAAAGCCUGACGCAGCAACGCCGCGUGGGGGAUGACGGCCUUCGGGUUGUAAACCUCUUUCGACAUCGACGAAGGGGCCCUGUUGUGGGGUUUUGACGGUAGGUGUAGAAGAAGCACCGGCUAACUACGUGCCAGCCGCCGCUGUAA